CGGUGUAGAAGGACCUGGAUUCCUUAAGUCUGUGAGGGAAGAAAGCACAGAGGAGAGGCAGUGAGUCUGGAGAAGCAGACCCCAGGGCGAACUCCUGCCUGGAGAGGAGAGUCCUUGAGGGCAGGCGACACCUCCCGGUCAUGGCCACCUGGAGGGAGGGUGUGAAGACCAGCCACAGCAUGACGGGACACCCCAGGGGAGCUGGCAUCAGGAAGCCCUGCUUCCCACUCUGCCGUCCUGGCCCGAUGUUUAUCGAUGAACAGAUGGCUCCGGAGCAGCGUCGUCACAAACAAUUUUCCCCUCCACCAGCUCCAAGUAGGGAAACAAUGCCUCCUCUCCCCACCAGGACUGGCACUUUCUGUCCCUCCUGUCCCCCUACAGACAUCAGGCUUCCCUCCCCCAGGAGAACUCUCUGACAAGGCCUGGCCCGGUGCUAUCUAGCGACUGGGGCCGGCAAGGGCGCGUGGCCACCCUGCCCAGCCUCCAGGCGGGAUGGCACUAAUGGGCCCGCAGAGCAGCUCGCUGGGUACCUCGGGCAAGUCUCGAGCUCCCUGGCCCUCGAGUUCCUGCCUGCAGAGCCAGGCUACAUCAAUCAUCUACCCAGGGAGGGCAUCGAGGCACCAUCUGGCGCCAUUUAACGGGACAUUCAGCAGCAGGAGCCUGACAGAGGGCCACGGCUGGCCUGAUUGUUUUCUCUUGGCAUUUUGGAACCGGCUAUUGUCUAGCUCCUAAUGAACUUUUCUGCAAUUAGAAAACUAAAGGGAGGGAGGGUCAGGCAUAUCUGAGAGCUUGCCAGGCCCGCAGCCUGCCAACGAGUCUGUGGACAGAGGAGAAUGAGGAGUGGGGCCAGGGCUACGGUGGCGACGGUACAGAAGCACGGAGGGUGAGGGUGCCAGGAGCCUGAGGCAGGACUGCUGAGCUGGGGGCCAGGGGCCAUGUUCCCGGCACUGCCCACUCCCGCAGGCAGAUGGCUACUUCUCCUGCACAGGGAGCUCCCUGCCUGUCUCGGAGGGAGCUCCUCAGAAGAAGGGCAGGAGAAAGAACUUGUCAGCCCCAGUUAAGAGGCCAGAAGCCCCUCCCGGCAGGAAGAAACGAGCACAGGGAGAGAGGAGGGAGGGGACAGAGAGGCACUGCACUCACACAUGGACCCGGGAGGCAGAGCCAUUCCGAAACAGCAAGUAGCAAGACGGGAAGUCGGUGACCCCAAACUUGCUCACCACAUCACCCUCCGUGUUCAGGACCCUGCGCACCGCUAUGCCAUGGUGCUGGGACAGGUCCAGAGUCACCUGCAGAGACAGACAGAUAGACGUGUUGGGGGCGGGGUCCAGUCACUGGGCAGAAGGAGCCCUGGGUGGGUGCCUGGUGGCAGCCACGCUCCACCCAGACUCUAAACCUUUCAGAGAGUGGACCAGGGUGCUGAGUGAGUCUCAUGCCACCAACCGCAUCUAUGCCACAGGGGACAAGAAUCAAGCACUGCCCAGGAGAAGGGGCCUUGGAACUGUGUACACCACACACCUUGAAUUUCCUAGAGCAGUCCAAUUGAAUAUCAUUUUCUUUCCAAUGAAAGCAAUCUGUAGAAGGCAUGAUAAAAUGUGGUUUCGUUUUUA